UUAGGAUAGGGUGUGUAGGGUAGCACGGAGAAGUUUGGAUUCUCAGGGGUAGGUUCGAUACCUACAGUCCUAG
rnacentral:tRNA from 1 species